CAGCAGCCGCGGUAAUACAGAGGAUGCAAGCGUUAUCCGGAAUGAUUGGGUGUAAAGCGUCUGUAGGUGGCUUUUCAAGUCCGCCAUCAAAUCCCUGGGCUCAACCCUGGACAGGCAGUGGAAACUACCAAGCUGGAGUACGGUAGUGGCAGAGGGAAUUUCCGGUGGGGAGGUGAAAUGCGUUGAGAUUGGAAAGAACACCAACGGUGAAAGCGCUCUGCUGGGCCGACACUGACACUGAGAGACGAAAUCUAGGGGAGCAAAUGGGAUUAGAUACCCCAGUAGUCCCUGUCUCUUAUAC
rnacentral:rRNA from 1 species